UCUAAAAGUUUGAAAAGCAUUUCUAAUUUCAAACUCAUUGUGUUCUUUGCUUAUGAUGCUAAAUAUACUUCUGGAGGUUAAUUUGAAACACAAUGGAAAAUUGGGACUUAUUCUAAAUGAGUCAAACAUUUAAAUUAACCGACUCAAGUAAUGAUUUUAACUUUGACACAGUUGAAUAAAGAGAAGUUUUCUGAAUUAAAAGUGAUAUAGAAAUGUGAUCUGAUUAAAUAAAUUUGACAUCCCAAAGUCAUACAACUGUAUGUUAUUUUUUCCCCGUCCAAUGAAUGUAUCAUGCAGACAAUAGUGUUGGGUAUUGUUAGGAGCCUCGGGAACAUAGCAAGUCGUCAAUUAAAGCAGACUGGUGGUACAAAUGGUUAAGUUCUGUUAUCUCAGUACUCUUUUAACUGCUGCUUUGUCUUUGCUCUUCAGCUUGUGAAUCUUUCAGUGGCUUUUAUGAUCUGGGCUGAGAGCAGUGCCCACUCCCUUGUGUUUGAGGGAAUUUCUCCUUGCAUUUGGUAUAGGGAUUUGUGCUUGGUGUAUUGAGUAACCCAAAUAGCAAUGGUCAGGGAGCUUAAUUACCUGCUGUUGUCUCAGUGCUUCUUUACUGGCAUCUAGAGCAAGGAGAACAGUUGCAAAUGUACUCUAGCCAGGAGCUUUCGGGAUCAUCUAUGCUCAAAAUAAAUACCAAGCUGGCCAAGUGGUUGAGACAUAAGAAUGAGAGGUGUCAAUCUAGAGCAAUUGAGCAAUGGCGAUAGUACAUACGGUAGCGACAAGCAUUCAGAAAGCAAAUUGGAUGAUCUUAAGUAACAAAACUUGGGAAACUAAUGUUUGGUGAGAUUCAAUGCUGCUGAAAUUUGAAUGAGAGAUCAUUAGACAACUCAUUUGCUUUCAAAGUACCCACAUUUGAUUUCAAUGUUAAGCAGCUCAUCAAAGUGACAAUGGAAAAGGCAUGUCACUGAAGAUCAUCCUGUCCUUAACAACCCUUUUUUUUUUUUGCCUAAACCUAUUUGGUUUUGUGGGAGUGGAGGAUGAUCCACAAAAACAAAUAUAAAAAUCUCAAAACCAGAAGUUAUUGCCCUAUAGACUUACUGCUGAUGGGAUUAUUGUUGGUAUAUAUUUGGCAUUGAUUCUCAUAACACUGAAAACUCUGCAACUCAAACAAAAAGCUGAAACAAGAGGUUUAAUCUAUGGCAAGAACUUGCUGUCAACCAAAAGAGACGGUGGACAUCAAUGGACCCCAGAUGUAAAAAUGUAAGCAUAUAUGGGAACUGUUAUAUGCAAACUGUAAAUAUUUUGAUUUUACAGAGUGGAUGUUUACAGAUAAGAAAGUGACUUUAUUAGACAGGUACUGGAAGACAUAAUUAUUGAAGGGGGAUAAAAAAAAAAGGUUAGUUAUCACUUAUAUCAUAUCAGUGUAUCAAAUACAAGUCUCUUCAGUGAUUUAACUAUUUAAACUUUCUUUUUUGCCUUUUUUUCUAUCUGAUCUGGAAAGGACAAGAGGGGGAUACCUAUUUUAGUAGAGAGAGAUUGAAGAGUCUUCCAUUGAUGGGGUCAUUGACAGCUGCACAAACAAGACAUUGCCCCAGCAAAAAAGUAUAACUGGCCUGGCUCCUCAGUUUCCAUGCCUGGAUAUUCUCUUUGAUUUUUAUUUCUUGAAAUGCUGCAUAUUUAUAUUAACAGCUCUGCCAAAACCAGUUAUGUUGAUUAUCUCCUUUUAUACUUGCCUGCUUUUGUAUGUAUUUAUUGCUUUUGCAUAUUGUUGAGCUGUGAUCAAUGGUGGGGAUUCGUUUUGAGCUGUAUAUAUAUGUUUUUUUCUCUCUUAUUUAUUUAUUUUGUUCUUUUUCAUGUAUUUGUUGUGUUUUGUAUUGGGUUUGAAGGCCUAUGGAGAUUGGUUGAAUGAAAUUGUCUGUUUUCUGCAGGUUUUUGGUAUGCUGAGUACAAAUAGGCCAAUGUCAGAUAAUAGACUGUGGACAAGAGUUCUUUUUUGUUAGCCAUUGCUAUAGAUUUCUCACUACAAAGAUAUUGUUUCAAUUUGUUGUCUCAGGCAUUGGCCUUUAGCAAGCUUUUUGAUACAAGUGUAUUGCCUUUAUGCAAUGGUUCUUAUCCUAUGUUACUCGGAUUCUUAGUGUGAACGUCUUAUCCGUUCCCAAAAUGGUAACGUUCGUUCAUCGUUGUCCGAGAUUUUUCUUACCAAAUGAGGAGGAGGGACGUUACAAAAAUGAAGGAUCCGAGCAAUAUGGACCAAUUUGGAUCCGAACAGGUUCCUUUUAAAACUACUUCGUUAAUCUGGACCUGUUUAUCAGAAAUGUCGGUUCUGGUUUAACAGAGGGAGAGAUUUGCAUGAUGAUUACAUGUGAGCCAUGGAUUGGCAAUAAGAUCUGCUGCAAGGGACCAUUUUAGGUAUGGUUCUUUAAUAUAUAAUUAUAUGAUGAAAUAAGUCAGUACCUGGUAAGAAAAUUAUACUUCUUGUGGUCCGUAAAAUGUCAUGGUAAACAGUUUUAAGACUCAACUGGUCUUGGGUUGCUUUGAUUCAGAUUUAUUUUCUUCUAUAAAACAAGUCUCAGUCUGCAAAUAAAAGAA